AGAUCGUUUCUCAGGGAGCAGAUCAGCCUCCAAAACUGAUGAGGUAGGUUCGAUACCUACACGGUCUGCCA
rnacentral:tRNA from 1 species